UACGAAGGGAGCUAGCGUUGCUCGGAAUCACUGGGCGUAAAGCGCACGUAGGCGGACUCUUAAGUCGGUGGUGAAAUCCUGGAGCUCAACUCCAGAACUGCCUUCGAUACUGAGAGUCUUGAGUCCGGGAGAGGUGAGUGGAACUGCGAGUGUAGAGGUGAAAUUCGUAGAUAUUCGCAAGAACACCAGUGGCGAAGGCGGCUCACUGGUCCGGUACUGACGCUGAGGUGCGAAAGCGUGGGGAGCAAACAGG
rnacentral:rRNA from 1 species